AUGACUUUAUUUCGUGAUGAAUCCACUAUUUUGGAAGAGGUUCCAAUUGAUUAUGAGAACAAAGUUGCUAUCUAUGAUGAUUAUUGUGAUGACAUGUAUGCUAUAAAGAAUAAUGAUAACCAUGAAACUUGUCAUCCUGAUUUUAAUGUUCAAUUUGAUUAUGUCAAUCAAGUAUCUCAUGAUAGUUAUUUUGUUGAGGUUACUCCCAUCACUAUUCAUGAGAAUAAAUUUGUUUUUGUGGAGAUAAUAAAAUUUCUAUGCUUAUUAAUCAUGAAAAGAAUGCUUUAUUUGAUUGUUAUAUUGUUGAAUUCAUUCAUGAUGCUAUUGAAAAUUAUUGUGAGAGAGGAACAUAUGCUUCUAUAUAUAGCAAUAAUAUCAAGUUUCCUCUCUGUGUUGAAACACAGAGAGGAACAUAUGCUUCUUUUGCCUUCCUAUGCUAGUUGA
rnacentral:rRNA from 1 species